AAUCAACGCUGGCGGCGUGCCUCAGACAUGCAAGUCGAACGAUUAAAGCUCUCUUCGGAGAGUGCAUAGAGUGGCGCACGGGUGAGUAACACGUAAGUAAUCUACCCUCGAGUGGGGAAUAACGUCCGGAAACGGACGCUAAUACCGCAUAAUGCAGCGGCACCGCAAGGUGACAGUUGUUAAAGAUUUAUCGCUUGAGGAGGAGCUUGCGGCAGAUUAGCUAGUUGGUAAGGUAAUGGCUUACCAAGGCUACGAUCUGUAACCGGUCUUAGAGGACGGUCGGUCACACUGACACUGAAUAACGGGUCAGACUCCUACGGGAGGCAGCAGUCGGG
rnacentral:rRNA from 1 species